CCCAUGGUCUCCAUACACUCAGGGAAAGACAAGUUUAGAUUGAACAGAGGGCAGAGAACCAGGCUGUGCAGCCCAGCCUUGCCCCACCGGGCUCUGGCCCUCUCCUCAGUCUCCUUCCCUCCCUGGCUCAGACCCCAUCCCCCUCCCCCUCCUCUCCCUGCAGUGGCCUAUGAGGAACUCCUGGACAACCGAAAACUGGAAGGUCAGUGAGGGUAUAGGUGGAGACCAUACCUGGCCAGGUUGGGAGGGCAAGGUCAAGGCUGGGGGCAGGAGGCCAGGCCCCGGAGGGGUGAAGCCAAGGGUUCAGGCCCCAGGGCAAGAGGCUGGGAGAGCCCAGGAGUGGACACAGCCUUGGUUCAUUUGCUGUUCUUCCUCCCUCCCAGUGACCCAGACUACAGAUCCAUCACGGCAGCUGGAGGGUGGGAAUCUCGCUUUGGCUAUCCUGUUGCCCCUGGGCUUGGUCAUUGUCCUUGGCACUGGUGUUUACAUAUACUACACUAAGUAAGUACCCUCAUCCUCAUAGCCGG
rnacentral:lncRNA from 1 species